rnacentral:rRNA from 1 species
UACGAAGGGGCUAGCGUUGUUCGGAAUUACUGGGCGUAAAGCGCACGAGGCGGAUAUUUAAGUCAGGGGUGAAAUCCCAGAGCUCAACUCUGGAACUUGCCUUUGAUACUGGGGUAUCUUGAGUAUGGAAGAGGUAAGUGGAAUUGCGAAGUGUAGAGGUGAAAUUCGUAGAUAUUCGCAGGAACACCAGUGGCGAAGGC